rnacentral:rRNA from 1 species
UACAGAGGGUGCGAGCGUUACUCGGAAUUACUGGGCGUAAAGGGCGCGUAGGCGGUUUAUCAAGUGAGAUGUGAAAUCCCCGGGCUUAACCUGGGAACUGCAUCUUAAACUGAUAGGCUGGAGUACUGUAGAGGAUAGUGGAAUUUCCGGUGUAGCGGUGAAAUGCGUAGAGAUCGGAAGGAACAUCAGUGGCGAAGGCGACUGUCUGGACAGAUACUGACGCUGAGGCGCGAAAGCGUGGGGAGCAAACAGG